rnacentral:rRNA from 1 species
UAAUACCAGCACCCCGAGUUGUCGGGAUGAUUAUUGGGCCUAAAGCAUCCGUAGCCUGUUCUGCAAGUCCUCCGUUAAAUCCACCUGCUCAACGGAUGGGCUGCGGAGGAUACCGCAGAGCUAGGAGGCGGGAGAGGCAAACGGUACUCAGUGGGUAGGGGUAAAAUCCAUUGAUCUACUGAAGACCACCAGUGGGGAAGGCGG